UACGAAGGGGGCUAGCGUUGCUCGGAAUCACUGGGCGUAAAGGGUGCGUAGGCGGGUUUUUAAGUCAGGGGUGAAAUCCUGGAGCUCAACUCCAGAACUGCCUUUGAUACUGAAGAUCUUGAGUCCGGGAGAGGUGAGUGGAACUGCGAGUGUAGAGGUGAAAUUCGUAGAUAUUCGCAAGAACACCAGUGGUGAAGGCGGCUCACUGGCCCGGUACUGACGCUGAGGCACGAAAGCGUGGGGAGCAAACAGG
rnacentral:rRNA from 1 species